AAUUUUGGACAAUGGGCGCAAGCCUGAUCCAGCCAUUGCGCGUGUGUUAAGACGGCCGUCGGGUUUUAAAGCUCUUUCGGGCGGGAAGAAAUCGCGCAGGCGAAUACCCUGGGCGGAUGACGGUGUCUUGAUAAGAAGUACAGGCGAAAUCUGUGCCAGCAGCCGCGGUAAUCAGUAGGGGGCGAGUGUUAAUCGGAAUUACUGGGCGUAAAGACGGCGCAGGCGGUUGAUUAAGACAGGCGUGAAAUCCCCGGGCUUAACCUGGGAACUGCGCUUGUGACUGGUCAGCUAGAGUACGGCAGAGGGGGGUGGAAUUCCACGUGUAGCAGUGAAAUGCGUAGAGAUGUGGAGGAACACCGAUGGCGAAGGCAGCCCCCUGGGCCGAUACUGACGCUCAUGCACGAAAGCGUGGGUAGCAAACAGG
rnacentral:rRNA from 1 species